GCGAGGGUGGCGGAGUGGUCAAUCGCGCAAGCCUAAGGAGCUUGUCCCUUAGUGGGUUCACGGGUUCGAAUCCUGUCCCUCGCA
rnacentral:tRNA from 1 species